GACGAGCUCCCCGAACGUUAUUCGGUAUUACUGGGCUUAAAGAGUUCGUAGGCGGCCCGACAGGUGAGGUGUGAAAUCCCUCGGCUCAACCGAGGGACUGCGCUUCAAACCGUCAGGCUGGAGGGAGAUAGAGGUGAGCGGAACAGAUGGUGGAGCGGUGAAAUGCGUUGAUAUCAUCUGGAACACCGGUGGCGAAAGCGGCUCACUGGAUCUUUUCUGACGCUGAGGAACGAAAGCUAGGGUAGCGAACGGG
rnacentral:rRNA from 1 species